GGGGUGGCGAAGCGAACGCCGAAGGCGCGAGACCAUCUAGGGGGUCCAGGGGAAUGCACCCCCGGGAAAAUUUUGAAAUCUAGAGUCCCUGAAAUGCGAUUUCAAGCAUUUUGGGGGUGAAAUCUUGCAGAAUUCCGAACAUUAUAAAGUACAUCGAAGACAUAAAUUUUCCCAGACAUUUCUAAUUUUCUACUCGGAAUUAAAUAAAUUGGAAAAGUCACCUUGAAAAAAGGAGGAGCCGGUCAGCGUCAUUUUAUUUCCCCUCUGUGAUGCUGGGGGAAGAAAAUCCCAAUGUGAUUUUGGUAAUCAUAACAUCAAACAGGUGACCAACAAGAAAGUACUGGGAAUUACUUUAGACGAUGAACUGAGGUGGCAUAAACACAAUGAUCUUCAAUGCAAAAAAUUAUCCAAGAGCAUUGCCUUACUAAGAUGAGCCAUGAAAACGAUUUGUUAACCAAAACGUAUUAAUUAACAUGUACAACUCACUUAGCUUACCUCACUUUACUUAUUGCUCCAACGUGUGGAAUGACGGCAGUCGUACACAUACAGACAACUUUUAAAAAUGCAAAAACGAGCUAGCGGCUCGAAUUAUCACGGGGUCAACUUACGAAGUAAGAUCGAAAGAUAUAUUUAAUUAUUUACACUGGGAACCAAUUGAAACCACUCUUAAGAAAAGCCGGAGAAAUGAUAAUGCCCUUUAAGGCCUUACAAGGACAACUGCCAGAAUGUAUGACCAAUAUCUUUAAAAUUUGCCUAAAUGAUAUGUAUCCGUUAAGCAGUAAUAACUGUAAACUUUAUUUGGAAAAACCUAAAACAGACUUCUUGAAGAAAUCGUUUUCAUAUCGAGGUGCUGCAUCAUGGAACAAUCUUCCAAAUGAUGUUACCAACAACUAUAAAGAGCUCUCCAUAAGUAACUUCAAAACCUUAACCAACAACUGUUUCGCCAAUUCGGAGAGGAAUAGUGUGUGACAACCACUUGUGGGGCGGAUUUUGAUUCGAAGGAGUAAUUUUAGGAUCGUG